UACGUAGGGGGCAAGCGUUGUCCGGAAUCAUUGGGCGUAAAGCGCGUGUAGGCGGUCCGGUAAGUCGGACGUGAAAUCCCCGGGCUCAACCCGGGAACUGCGUCCGAUACUGGAUGGCUUGAAUCCGGGAGAGGGAUGUGGAAUUCCAGGUGUAGCGGUGAAAUGCGUAGAUAUCUGGAGGAACACCGGUGGCGAAGGCGGCAUCCUGGACCGGUAUUGACGCUGAGGCGCGAAAGCCAGGGGAGCAAACGGG
rnacentral:rRNA from 1 species